rnacentral:piRNA from 1 species
UUUGAAGGCAUGAAGGGGUCACACAGAG